UCCCACCAUAGAGGUGAGCCGGCCCGGCUCCCGUCCCCAGCCCAGCUCCUGACACGGGCUUGUCUCCCACCCACACUGCAGGAGGGGUCUCCUUGUCAUUGGUCCUGGGGGGCAUGAGAGGAGCGAGGGAGGGUCCCAUCCCUGGAGGGCCGGCUGUCUCUAAGCAGUGUCCUCCCCAGGACUCCCACCGGAAGCAAGUGGUCAUCGAUGGGGAGAUGUGCCUGCUGGGCAUGCUGGACACGGUGGGCCGGGAGGAGUACAGCGCUGUGCGGGCCCAGUACACGUGCACCUGGGAGGGCUUCCUCUGUUUGCCGUCAACGACGCCAAGUCCUUCAAGGGCCAGAUCCUUCGAGGACAUCCGCCAGUACAGGGAGCAGAUUGAGUGGUUGAAGGACUCGGACGACAUGCCCAGGGUGCUGUUGGGGAACAAGUGUGACUUGGCCACGUGUACCGUGGAGUGUUGGCAGGCCCAGGACCUGGCCCACAGCUAUGGCAUCCCCUACAUGGAGACUUCGGCCAAGAAGGGCCAGGGCGUGGAGGAUGCCGUCUACAAGCUGGAGCACAAGAGCCGGCAGCACAAGGCGAGCAAGCUGGGCCCGCCCGCCCCACGGGGGUGGCCUGGGCUGCCUGAGCUGCAGGGCCUGCUCUCCCAACUGAGGCACAGGCGACAGGCAUGGAAGAGGCACCCGCAGGGAGGAUGCAGGGAAGGAAGCUCCGGCCCGCCCAGAUGUAUGUGGUCCAUCCAUACAAUGGAAUACUAUUCAGCCUAAAAAAGGAAGGACAUUCUGACACCUGCUACACCAUGGAUGAAACCUGAAGAUAUGCUGAGUGAAAGAAACUGGUCACAAAAGGAAAAAUACGGGACAGUGGCUCCUGAGACCCACGUGACCGCACCAGUGUGCUGCUUGAGAAAGUUCCAGGCUGUGGUGCUGGGGACCACGUGCUUCGGAGCCCGUGCGUCACAGCUACUGAGCUUAUGCACCACUCUCUCCCUGAGCGCCCAGGGAGCUGAGAGUCCAAGCAGACCAGGGCAGGCAGACACCACCCGAGUGGCCCUCGCAGGGAAUGCGUGAACACAGGGGAGGAUGUCCCCGCAGGGGCAUACCACGUGGCAGUGAAAAGAAACCAACUCCUGAUCCAAGCUGCCACCUGUCUGAGUAACGUGGUGGAGUGAAAGAAGCCGGAAGAAAAUGGUACAUAGUGGAUGAUUCCCAGCUAUUUAAAAGUCUAGAAAACGCAGCCGGUUUUAGUGACAGAGAGCACAUCAGUGGUUGUCUGGAGGCAGAGGGGAGUGUGGGUCACAGAUGCUUCAUGGGUAUAUACACACGUCACAAUGAAUCAAACUGUGCACCUUAAGUAUACACAGUUUACUGUAUGUCAACUGUACCUCAAUAAAGCUGUUUUAAAUAAAAUAGGCUUCAGUUUUAGGUUUACAGAAAAACUAAGCAUACAGUAAUGAAAGUCUCCACAGACUCCCUGCCAGCCCCCGUUCCCCCACCCAGUAGUUUCCCCUAUUAUUAACAUUUUGCUUUAGUCAGGAACAUUUGUUACAAUUAAUGAACCUAC